GGCCGUUUGAAUUAUGCAAUGAAUUGUUACAAAGUGUUUUAAAAUAUAUCAGACUUCACAAAAAGUAAUUUUUAUCCGGAAGCCAUGGUUCUGUGGUUCCUCCGGAACGAACAUCAAUUUAACAGCACUGGAUUUUCCACAUGGAAGAGAUCCUUGGACUGUAGCUUCAGUGCCCUGCUUCUCACUCAGACACCUGACCCUGCCUCCUUCUCCUCCAACCCAAGGCAUCAACUAUCCCCUGCAUCUAGGCAUGGUGAGAGUUUCUUUUCUCAAAUUAAGAAACAAUAACAAGGACACAGCCUGACCAAGCCAGCACCUGCCUGAUUCCAAGCUCCUCCUGCAGGCAGG
rnacentral:lncRNA from 1 species